CUCCCUCCCUCCCUUUCAUUUCUAUAAAUGGGGAGAGCCACACUACAGACUCAAUAUCCUUCACUCAACAGAGUUAUCUUCCAAUUAAAGAGUCUUUCCCAGGUUCAUUGUCCGAUUCUCUAAGUUGUUAAGGAAAAUGGCUUCCUCCAAGGUUUUUCUUCUUCUCGGUCUUGCCUUUGCCGUUGUUCUCCUGGUCUCAGCUCGUGAGCUCGCUGAGACUACUCAAACCCAGGAGGCUGUACAAACUGACUCUGUGGAGGAUGCCAAGUAUGGUGGCCAUGGGUAUGGCCACGGCUACGGACACGGCCACGGUCACGGACACGGUAAACCAGGUCAUGGUGGUCACCCAGGACAUGGUGCUGCUGGCGAAACUGAAACCGACCAAAACUAGACAAAUCCCUUACAUAUGGUGUCUGCAUGGAUGGGUUUAGUAAUAAGAUGUACUAGUAAUCUAAGCUUGUAUGCCAAUAAGGUCGCUGGAUGUCUGUGGGUCAUGUAUAAGCUUUAUCUUUGUACUUUUGUCGUGUUUCUCUCUGCUUUUUAUUAUUAAUCGUAACGUGCUUAAUCCUAAUCCUAAUUGGUGUCAGAAUGUCUUGUUUUUCUUCGACCUAUCGUUUCGAUUGCCAUUUGAUUCUCUCGAUGGCUGAUUUUCCUUUUCUUUUUCUUUUUAUUAUUAAGAAACAUAGAUUUAAAUAAAUAAAUAAAUAAAAAGUAGAUCCCAAUAUUAUUAAUUAGUGCAAAAUAUGAG